UCUUUUUGUUUAAAAAUUUAAAGUCUAGCCUGCCCACUGAAGUAAUUUUAAAUGGCCUGCGGUAUUUUGACCGUGCUAAGGUAGCAUAAUCAUUAGUUUUUUAAUUGAAAGCUAGAAUGAAAGGUUGGAUGAAAAAGUAGCUGUCUCUAAUUAAUUAUUAUUGAAUUUUAUUUUUAAGUUAAAAAGCUUAAAUACUUUUAAAAGACGAGAAGACCCUAUAGAGUUUAAUAAAAAAUUAUUAUAAAUUAAAUUUGGUAUUUAUCAUUAUUUAUACUAAUUUUAUUUGAUUGGGGUGAUUAAAAAAUUUAAUAAACUUUUUUUUAUUAUAAUAUAAAUUUAUAAAUUUUUGAUCCAAUUAUAUUGAUUAAAAGUAAAAAUUACCUUAGGGAUAACAGCGUAAUUUUAUUUGAGAG
rnacentral:rRNA from 1 species